GAACCAGAAUCUGUGUCUGGAGAUCAUCUGUUCCUAACCCAGAAAGAGUAAGCAUCUACACAGCCAGGGGCUUAUAGGAUCAUAAAUUUAGACAUUGGAGGUCAUCUAAUACAAAGCCCUCAUUUUACAUAUAAAGAAACUGAGUCCAGAGAGUUUGUCUGUAGAGGAAGAGAGAGAAGGCAAGCUACCAUGCCAACGACCACCUCACAUCAGAUCCCAGUGGAGACAGCCCAGAACCCUGCACCCUAGAGCCCUGGGAAUAUCACCGCCUCCCAGACCAUGGCUUCUUCUGGCCUGAUUGCCCCAGCAAUCAUCAAGGGAGACAAAU
rnacentral:lncRNA from 1 species